UUAAAAACCCGACAAAUUUUCAAUCUAUUAACUCAAAAUAUGAUUACAGCUUUUAAGUUUUGUGCGCGAGCCAUUUUUAGUUUGUUGGAAAAGACACACACCCCUGGUUCACAAAAUUUGAGUUCGAGAAUUUUUUUUCAUUAUUUUACAUUAUAAGUACCCAAAGAAGCUAUAUAUAUAAAAAACCAGAUACAAAUAGGUGUUUUGCGAAGUUGAGAGCAAUUUCAAAUCUGUUCAGUUUUUUUUGAUACACCCUGUAUAA